AUCAAGUGUCUUAAGGGCAAUUGGUGGAUGCCUUGGCAUGCACAGGCGAUGAAGGACGUGAUACGCUGCGAUAAGCUACGGGGAGGUGCGAAUACCCUUUGAUCCGUAGAUUUCCGAAUGGGGAAACCCACCUAAGGUACUUGGAAAAUCAGAGCAGCAGGGUGACUUGCUGCUGUGGUUUCCAAGUAUCGAUAAUAGGUAACUUACCCUGAAUACAUAGGGGUAAAGUGGCGAACGCGGGGAACUGAAACAUCUAAGUACCCGUAGGAAAGGACAUCAACCGAGACUCCGGAAGUAGUGGCGAGCGAACCCGGACCAGGCCAGUGGCGAUUGAGAGACAAGCGGAACCUUCUGGAAAGUAGGGCCAUAGUGGGUGACAGCCCCGUACGCGUAAUGCAAUCAAUCGUCCUCGAGUAAGGCGGGACACGUGAAAUCCUGUCUGAAAUUGGGGGGACCACCCUCCAAGCCUAAGUACUCGUGCAUGACCGAUAGCGAACUAGUACCGUGAGGGAAAGGUGAAAAGCACCCCGACAAGGGGAGUGAAAGAGUACCUGAAACCGAUUGCCUACAAACAGUGGGAGCCCGCAAGGGUGACCACGUACCUUUUGUAUAAUGGGUCAGCGACUUAGUGUGACGAGCAAGCUUAAACCGCUAGGUGUAGGCGCAGCGAAAGCGAGUCUGAACAGGGCGUUCAGUUCGUCGCAUUAGACCCGAAACCGAGUGAUCUAGCCAUGAGCAGGUUGAAGGUAAGGUAACACUUACUGGAGGACCGAACCCAUAACUGUUGCAAUAGUUCGGGAUGACUUGUGGCUAGGGGUGAAAGGCCAAUCAAACUCGGAAAUAGCUGGUUCUCCGCGAAAUCUAUUUAGGUAGAGCGUCGACCGAAUACCCCAGGGGGUAGAGCACUGGAUGGGCUAGGGGUCCUCACCGGAUUACCAAACCUAACCAAACUCCGAAUACCUGGGAGUACUAGUCGGCAGACACACGGCGGGUGCUAACGUCCGUCGUGAAAAGGGAAACAACCCUGACCUACAGCUAAGGUCCCCAAGUUAUGGCUAAGUGGGAAAGGAUGUGAGGAUCCCAAAACAACCAGGAUGUUGGCUUAGAAGCAGCCAUCAUUUAAAGAAAGCGUAACAGCUCACUGGUCUAAAUAAGGGUCUUUGCGCCGAAAAUGUAACGGGGCUAAAGCCAUACACCGAAGCUUAGGGUUCGUGAGCAAUCACGAGCGGUAGCGGAGCGUUCUGUAAGCUGAUGAAGCCAUACCCGUGAGGGGUGGUGGAGGUAUCAGAAGUGCGAAUGCUGACAUGAGUAACGUAAGGGGAGUGAGAGACUCCCCCGCCGAAAGACCAAGGGUUCCUGCUUAAAGCUAAUCUGAGCAGGGUUAGCCGGCCCCUAAGACGAGGCGGAAACGCGUAGUCGAUGGGAACCACGUUAAUAUUCGUGGGCUUGGAGGUAGUGACGGAUCAUUGAGGUAGUCCAAUCUUAUCGGAUUGAACGGGCUGCUGCGUGGUUCCAGGAAAUAGCUCCUCCUUAUAAACCGUACCCGAAACCGACACUGGUGGUCUGGUAGAGUAUACCAAGGCGCUUGAGAGAACUAUGCUGAAGGAACUCGGCAAAUUGCACGCGUAACUUCGGAAGAAGCGUGACCCUUUUCCACGCAAGUGGAGGAGGGUGGCACAGACCAGGGGGUAGCGACUGUUUAUCAAAAACACAGGGCUCUGCGAAGUCGCAAGACGACGUAUAGGGUCUGACGCCUGCCCGGUGCUGGAAGGUUAAGAGGAGGGGUGCAAGCUCUGAAUCGAAGCCCCAGUAAACGGCGGCCGUAACUAUAACGGUCCUAAGGUAGCGAAACGGCCCGCCUGGCUCAAACCAGCGGGCCGUUUUGCGUUUGGAGCCAACGUCGCCAACGGCUGCCUCCCGCCCAGCGGCCCGCAAGCAGACAAAACCGAAGCCGCACGACAGAUAA
rfam:Mesorhizobium huakuii 7653R genome.